ensembl:snRNA U6 U6 spliceosomal RNA
GUGCUCACUUACGCAGCAUAUAUACUAAAAUUGGGAUGAUCAAAGAUUAGCAUGGCCUCUGUGCAGAAACAUAAAUAAAAAUAAAGCUGUUUCCAGAUCUUU